CUGCUAGCUUUGGCAGCACAUAUACUAAAAUUGGAAGGAUAGAGAAAAAAUUAGCAUGGCCCCUGUGCAAGGAUGACACACAAAUUCAUGAAGCAUUCCAUAUUUUU
ensembl:snRNA U6 U6 spliceosomal RNA